UAUAGAUUGAUUUAUAGUGAUCGCUCCCCGUCGAGACCGGGGAUCGAACCCGAGUCUUCUCUGUGUCGUUCCAAUUUUAGUCAACGGUUAACCGAGAGGGUUAGCAUUGCGUGGCUAAAUGGCGUGACGAGUUUUUCUUGUGACAUUGAAACUAGCAAACGAAGAAUGUGCAUAUACUGAACUUCCAAGAGCUUUAAAAAAUAAAAUACAUAGUGGGAAGAUAGUUGGGAUUGGCUCCAAUCACGCUCGCGGCCCGCGUGAGGAGAAGAAGUACAGAAAAUGGAUGCAUGGAAAAAACGCGUUGUCCGAGCACGCGUGAGCCUUUCCUCCCCCACCUUGGCCGCAUUCCUACGAGGGGCUGGUGCAGCGAAGAGGCCCUUCCUUCUCUGUCUUCACCGAACGACGCUCGUCUGACGUCAAAUGUAUUUGCAUGAUCCCCUCCGGCAGCCUAUCAGAUGGCCGUGUGUGCACUUCCUGUGUUUACACGGAUUGUUUUCAGUGAAUUUCUGCUUGUAAAUACUCAAUAAUAACUAACAUAUUGUUGAGCUAGCUUCCAUAUCCACCCAUAUACACACCCAUGUAUUUUGUCACUGAGUUGUCCGAGUGGUCUGGGGUGAUACCUGACCUCAAGGAUGUGCUCUAUGAUGUGCUCUUUAUAUACCUGCCCAGCAGGUGUACCAAUUGCGUUGCUUCGGCUUCGCAUAUACUAAAAUUGGAACGAUACAGAGAAGAUUAGCAUGGCCCCUGCGCAAGGAUGACACGCAAAUUCGUGAAGCGUUCCUCAUUUUAAAAAAGCGUUCCUUAUUUAAAAAAAAUAUUUUUUAAUGCAUAUUGCAUCCUUUUUUAAAAAUCAAAAUAUACCAGUAAAACGAAUCUGUUUUUUUAUUUCCGAUUUAUUCCGAGCAUUUAUAUAGCCUUGCUUUCUCAUUUUAUCAUUGUUUUUGACCUAAAAAUAUUUGAAAACUAUAUUAAAAAAUAUAGUGGGAGGCCAUCUAUAUCUGCUGCCAUCUGCUGGAGGAAUUUGGUAUUACCACCUAUUUACUCGUUUCUCUGUAUUUUGAUUGUGUUUUUAAAAACCACAGCUAUAGAUACGUUGUUGAAUAUUGUUCUUGUUUUUAAUAGUAGCAGUAGUAUUAGCAGUCACAACAUCUAUGAUCGACUGGCGGAGGGAGGCUCCAGGCCUCCUCUUUCAUCUGUAACCGUUUCAUACAACAAAGAACAUGUAUGAAUGUAUGCUGUGAUGUCUUUAUUGAUGAUUGAUAUUUUUUUAUGGUU